GACGAACGCUGGCGGCGCGCCUAACACAUGCAAGUCGAACGAGCGAGAGAGAGCUUGCUUUCUUGAGCGAGUGGCGAACGGGUGAGUAACGCGUGAGGAACCUGCCUCAAAGAGGGGGACAACAGUUGGAAACGACUGCUAAUACCGCAUAAGCCCACGGUGCCGCAUGGCACAGAGGGAAAAGGAGCAAUCCGCUUUGAGAUGGCCUCGCGUCCGAUUAGCUAGUUGGUGAGGUAACGGCCCACCAAGGCGUCGAUCGGUAGCCGGACUGAGAGGUUGGACGGCCACAUUGGGACUGAGACACGGCCCAGACUCCUACGGGAGGCAGCAGUGGGGAAUAUUGCACAAUGGGGGAAACCCUGAUGCAGCGACGCCGCGUGGAGGAAGAAGGUCUUCGGAUUGUAAACUCCUGUUGUUGGGGAAGAUAAUGACGGUACCCAACAAGGAAGUGACGGCUAACUACGUG
rnacentral:rRNA from 1 species